UACAGAGGUCUCAAGCGUUGUUCGGAUUCAUUGGGCGUAAAGGGUGCGUAGGUGGCGCUGUAAGUCAGGUGUGAAAUUUCGGAGCUCAACUCCGAAACUGCAUUUGAUACUGCGGUGCUUGAGGACUGGAGAGGAGAUUGGAAUUCACGGUGUAGCAGUGAAGUGCGUAGAUAUCGUGAGGAAGACCAGUGGCGAAGGCGGAUCUCUGGACAGUUCCUGACACUGAGGCACGAAGGCCAGGGGAGCAAACGGG
rnacentral:rRNA from 1 species